AGUAGUUAUUUAUAUAUAGCAAUAUCUGAGAUCUGAUACGAGACACAAUUGUAGCAUAGUAAUGUCAUGGUCAAGUUCAUAGUGCAUUUAUACAUACAAUUACUUGUAUUUUUAUUGACUCUACAAUUCCGAGAUUCAGAGAGCACCGAAGAAAACUGGAUAAAAAACACAGAUACGGAAUCACAGAAUCAGGAAGGUUCUGAAGAUAAGUUAAACGUGACGGAUAACAAAGUGAUAUCCAAGUUCAGAGAGUUCCUGGAAGUUCAGAAGCAUAUUUGGUUUAACUGGGAGUUUUAUUUGAUAGAUUUGGGUUUGUUCACUUUGGCGUAUUUAAUAUACACAGGUUUUGUAGACUAGUUCUCGAUCUUGUUUAUCUGCUUAGUUCAAUAAGAUGUCUUGUUAACCUUAGCUUGACCAUGAUGAUGUUCAAAACGAAUGUUGAGACUUUUGUAAUGACAAGCAAUACUUUAAAUUGAUUCAUAACAUUUUUUAAAUAUUAUUUACAAAAUAAAAGUUUUAAGUAUUA